AACGAACGCUGGCGGCAUGCCUAACACAUGCAAGUCGAACGAGACCUUCGGGCCUAGUGGCGCACGGGUGCGUAACGCGUGGGAACCUGCCCUUAGGUUCGGAAUAACUCCCCGAAUGGGGUGCUAAUACCGGCUAUUGUCUUCGGACCAAAGAUUGAUCGCCUUUGGAUGGGCCCGCGUUGGAUUAGCUUGUUGGUAGGGUAAAAGCCUACCAAGGCGACGAUCCGUAGCUGGUCUGAGAGGAUGAUCAGCGACACUGGGACUGAGACACGGCCCAGACUCCUACGGGAGGGAGCAGUGGGGAAUAUUGGACAAUGGGCGAAAGGCUGAUCCAGCAAUGCCGCGUGAGUGAUGAAGGCCUUAGGGUUGUAAAGCUCUUUUACCCGGGAUGAUAAUGACGGUACCGGGAGAAUAAGCUCCGGCUAACUCCGUG
rnacentral:rRNA from 1 species